rnacentral:rRNA from 1 species
GAUGAACGCUGGCGGCGUGCCUAAUACAUGCAAGUCGAGCGAACAGACGAGGAGCUUGCUCCUUCGACGUUAGCGGCGGACGGGUGAGUAACACGUAGAUAACCUACCUAUAAGACUGGGAUAACUUCGGGAAACCGGAGCUAAUACCGGAUAAUAUUUCGAACCGCAUGGUUCGAUAGUGAAAGAUGGCUUUGCUGUCACUUAUAGCUGGACCUGCGCCGUAUUAGCUAGUUGGUAAGGUAACGGCCUACCAAGGCAACGAUACGUAGCCGACCUGAGAGGGUGAUCGGCCACACUGGAACUGAGACACGGUCCAGACUCCUACGGGAGGCAGCAGUAGGGAAUCUUCCGCAAUGGGCGAAAGCCUGACGGAGCAACGCCGCGUGAGUGAUGAAGGUCUUCGGAUCGUAAAACUCUGUUAUUAGGGAAGAACAAACGUGUAAGUAACUGUGCACGUCUUGACGGUACCGAAUCAGAAAGCCACGGCUAACUACGUG